GACAGAGGGUGCAAACGUUGCUCGGAAUUACUGGGCGUACAGCGCGUGUAGGCGGACCAACAAGUCAGGCGUGAAAUCCCUGGGCUCAACCCAGGAACUGCACCUGAAACUGUCGGUCUUGAGUGGUGGAGAGGGAAGCAGAAUUCCUGGUGUAGAGGUGAAAUUCGUAGAUAUCAGGAGGAACACCGGUGGCGAAGGCGGCUUCCUGGACACUAACUGACGCUGAGACGCGAAAGCGUGGGGAGCAAACAGG
rnacentral:rRNA from 1 species